rnacentral:rRNA from 1 species
GAUGAACGCUAGCUACAGGCUUAACACAUGCAAGUCGAGGGGCAGCAUGUUGGUUGCUUGCAACCAACGAUGGCGACCGGCGCACGGGUGAGUAACGCGUAUCCAACCUGCCCACCACUUGGAGAUAACCUUGCGAAAGUAAGACUAAUACCCAAUGACGUCUCUAGAAGACAUCUGAAAGAGAUUAAAGAUUUAUCGGUGAUGGAUGGGGAUGCGUCUGAUUAGCUUGUUGGCGGGGUAACGGCCCACCAAGGCGACGAUCAGUAGGGGUUCUGAGAGGAAGGUCCCCCCACAUUGGAACUGAGACACGGUCCAAACUCCUACGGGAGGCAGCAGUGAGGAAUAUUGGUCAAUGGGGCGAGAGCCUGAACCAGCCAAGUAGCGUGCAGGAUGACGGCCCUAUGGGUUGUAAACUGCUUUUAUAAGGGAAUAAAGUGAGCCUCGUGAGGCUUUUUGCAUGUACCUUAUGAAUAAGGACCGGCUAA